rnacentral:rRNA from 1 species
AGAGUUUGAUCAUGGCUCAGGACGAACGCUGGCGGCGUGCUUAACACAUGCAAGUCGAACGAGAGAUACACAAGUGGCAACACCUGUGUUGAUCUAGUGGCGAACGGGUGAGUAACACGUGAGAAACCUGCUCUGAAGACCGGGAUAACCUCGGGAAACCGAAGCUAAUACCGGAUACCCUCCUUGGAUCGCAUGGUCCGUUGAGGAAAAGUUUUUCGCUUCAGGAGGGUCUCGCGGCCUAUCAGCUAGUUGGUGGGGUAACGGCCUACCAAGGCAUCGACGGGUAGCUGGUCUGAGAGGACGAUCAGCCACACUGGGACUGAGACACGGCCCAGACUCCUACGGGAGGCAGCAGUGGGGAAUCUUGCGCAAUGGGCGAAAGCCUGACGCAGCAACGCCGCGUGGGGGAUGAAGGCUCUCGGGUUGUAAACCCCUUUCAGCAGGGACGAAAAUGACGGUACCUGCACAAGAAGCCCCGGCCAACUACGUGCCAGCAGCCGCGGUAACACGUAGGGGGCAAGCGUUGUCCGGAUUUAUUGGGCGUAAAGAGCUCGUAGGCGGUUUGGUAAGUCGGGUGUGAAAACUCAGGGCUCAACCCUGAGACGCCACCCGAUACUGCUAUGACUAGAGUCCGGUAGAGGAGCGUGGAAUUCCUGGUGUAGCGGUGAAAUGCGCAGAUAUCAGGAGGAACACCAGCGGCGAAGGCGGCGCUCUGGGCCGGUACUGACGCUGAGGAGCGAAAGCGUGGGUAGCAAACAGGAUUAGAUACCCUGGUAGUCCACGCCGUAAACGUUGGGCACUAGGUGUGGGACCUUAUCAACGGGUUCC